GGCCGGGUAGUGCAAUGGUUAGCACGUCCUGUCAAUGCUCUCCGCAACCCCUGAUCGGGUUUUUGGACCGAGGAUUUUGGGUGGAGAGCAGAAGACGGGAAGAUCGAGGUUCGAUUCCUUGCCUGGCCA